UACAGAGGGGGCAAGCGUUGUUCGGAAUUACUGGGCGUAAAGGGCGCGUAGGCGGCACAGCAAGUCGGGAGUGAAAGCCCGGGGCUCAACCCCGGAACUGCUUUCGAAACUGCUGAGCUAGAGUACAGAAGGGGCAACCGGAAUUCCCAGUGUAGCGGUGAAAUGCGUAGAUAUUGGGAAGAACACCUGAGGCGAAGGCGGGUUGCUGGGCUGAUACUGACGCUGAGGCGCGAAAGCCAGGGGAGCAAACGGG
rnacentral:rRNA from 1 species